AGCAGCCGCGGUAAUUCCAGCUCCAAUAGCGUAUAUUAAAGUUGCUGCAGUUAAAAAACUCGUAGUUGAAUUUCGGGACCAUCAUGUCGGUCGUGCCUCGGUACGUACUGGCAUUGUUGGUUUCUCCCUUCUGACGAACCAUGAUGUCAUUAAUUUGGUGUCAUGGGGAAUCAGGACUGUUACUUUGAAAAAAUUAGAGUGUUUAAAGCAGGCUCACGCUUGAAUACAUUAGCAUGGAAUAAUGAAAUAGGACGUUUGAUUCUAUUUUGUUGGUUUCUAGGAUCGACGUAAUGAUUAAUAGGGAUAGUUGGGGGCAUUAGUAUUCAAUUGUCAGAGGUGAAAUUCUUGGAUUUAUUGAAGACUAACUACUGCGAAAGCAUUUGCCAAGGAUGUUUUCAUUAAUCAAGAACGAAAGUUAGAGGAUCGAAGACGAUCAGAUACCGUCGUAGUCUUAACCAUAAACUAUGCCGACUAGGGAUCGGAUGAUGUUAAUUUUUAAUGACUCAUUC
rnacentral:rRNA from 1 species